rnacentral:rRNA from 1 species
UACGUAGGGUGCGAGCGUUUGUCCGGAAUUACUGGGCGUAAAGAGCUCGUAGGUGGUUUGUCGCGUUGUUCGUGAAAACUCACAGCUCACUGUGGGCGUGCGGGCGAUACGGGCAGACUGGAGUACUGCAGGGGAGACUGGAAUUCCUGGUGUAGCGGUGGAAUGCGCAGAUAUCAGGAGGAACACCGGUGGCGAAGGCGGGUCUCUGGGCAGUAACUGACGCUGAGGAGCGAAAGCGUGGGGGAGCGAACAGG